AUGGGCGCAAGCCUGAUGCAGCGACGCCGCGUGAGGGAUGGAGGCCUUCGGGUUGUAAACCUCUUUCGCCAGUGAAGCAGGCCUGUCCCUUUUGUGGGUGGGUUGACGGUAGCUGGAUAAGAAGCGCCGGCUAACUACGUGCCAGCAGCCGCGGUAAUACGUAGGGCGCGAGCGUUGUCCGGAAUUAUUGGGCGUAAAGAGCUCGUAGGCGGCUGGUCGCGUCUGUCGUGAAAUCCUCUGGCUUAACUGGGGGCUUGCGGUGGGUACGGGCCGGCUUGAGUGCGGUAGGGGAGACUGGAACUCCUGGUGUAGCGGUGGAAUGCGCAGAUAUCAGGAAGAACACCGGUGGCGAAGGCGGGUCUCUGGGCCGUUACUGACGCUGAGGAGCGAAAGCGUGGGGAGCGAACAGGAUUAGAUACCCUGGUAGUCCACGCCGUAAACGUUGGGCACUAGGUGUGGGGGGCCUUUUCCGGGUCUUCCGCGCCGUAACUAACGCAUUAAGUGCC
rnacentral:rRNA from 1 species